AUGCACCAAUCAUAUGACCGGAGAGAGGAGAUGCUUGUGGAGUUUGUUGAUUCGCUCAAGGCCUCUUUGAACAUCCCCUUUGGUGACAAUAGCAAGGGAAAGGUAUUGGGAUUGUGCAAGGUGGUAAUCCCUAGUGAUUCAUCACUUUCAAAUGUCAUGCUUGUUCAAUCCUUUCACUACAAUUUACUUUCAACAGUUCAAUUGGCUCGUGCCGGUUAUGAUUCUCAUUUUGGUGAAUUUCAUGUGAUCGUGUUUAAGAGGAGCAAUCCCAAAGUGGUCUUUGUUGGGCAUGUUGAAGACAACCUUUAUGUGGUUGAUUUCUCAAAAUAG
rnacentral:rRNA from 1 species